AUUGAACGCUGGCGGCAGGCCUAACACAUGCAAGUCGAGCGGGGUUUUCGGACCUAGCGGCGGACGGGUGAGUAAUGCGUAGGAAGCUGCCCGAUAGAGGGGGAUACCAGUUGGAAACGACUGUUAAUACCGCAUAAUGUCUACGGACCAAAGUGUGGGACCUUCGGGCCACAUGCUAUCGGAUGCGCCUACGUGGGAUUAGCUAGUUGGUGAGGUAAUGGCUCACCAAGGCGACGAUCUCUAGCUGGUUUGAGAGGAUGAUCAGCCACACUGGAACUGAGACACGGUCCAGACUCCUACGGGAGGCAGCAGUGGGGAAUAUUGGACAGUGGGCGCAAGCCUGAUCCAGCCAUGCCGCGUGUGUGAAGAAGGCCUUCGGGUUGUAAAGCACUUUCAGCGAGGAGGAAGGGUGGUGUGUUAAUAGCACAUCAUUUUGACGUUACUCGCAGAAGAAGCACCGGCUAACUCUGUGCCAGCCGCCGCUGUAAAAC
rnacentral:rRNA from 1 species